rnacentral:tRNA from 1 species
GGUUGUGGCUCAGUGGUAGAACACUCGCCUAAUGUGGGUGAGGCUCUGGGUUCGAUCCUCAGCACCA